AAUGAACGCUGGCGGCGCGCCUAAUACAUGCAAGUCGAGCGAGAAGACGUAGCAAUACGUUUGUAAAGCGGCGAACGGGUGAGGAAUACAUGGGUAACCUACCCUAGAGUGGGGAAGUAACUAGCCGAAAGGUUAGCUAAUACCGCGUACGCUCCUUGGACUUCGGUUCAGGGAGGAAAGCGAUGCCGAGGGUAUCGCGCUCUUGGAU
rnacentral:rRNA from 1 species